GUCAGGCACAGUGGCGCAUGCCUGUAAUCCUGUCUACUUGGGAGGCUGAGGCAGGAGGAACAUAAGUUCCAGGACAGCCUGGGUAACUUAGCAAGAACUUGUCUCAA
rnacentral:sRNA from 1 species